AUUGAACGCUGGCGGCAGGCCUAACACAUGCAAGUCGAGCGAGCGGCGGACGGGUGAGUAAUGUCUGGGAAACUGCCUGAUGGAGGGGGAUAACUACUGGCAACGGUAGCUAAUACCGCAUACCAUCAGAUGUGCCCAGAUGGGAUUAGCUUGUGGGUGGGGUAAUGGCUCACCAAGGCGACGAUCCCUAGCUGGGCUGAGAGGAUGACCAGCCACACUGGAACGGAAGCACGGUCCAGACUCCUACGGUAGGCAGCAGUGGGGAAUAUUGCACAAUGGGCGCAGGCCUGAUGCAGCCAUGCCGAGUGUAUGAAGAAGGCCUUCGGGUUGGAAAGCACUUUCAGCGAGGAGGCGUUACUCGCAGAAGAAGCACCGGCUAACUCCGUGCCAGCAGCCGCGGUAAUAC
rnacentral:rRNA from 1 species